rnacentral:rRNA from 1 species
AGAGUUUGAUUAUGGCUCAGGAUGAACGCUAGCGAUAGGCCUAACACAUGCAAGUCGAGGGGCAGCACAUGAAGUAGCAAUACGGAUGGUGGCGACCGGCGCACGGGUGAGUAACGCGUAUGCAACCUGCCUACAACAGGGGAAUAACCCGUUGAAAGACGGACUAAUACCCCAUAACACAGGGAUCCCGCAUGGGAAUAUUUGUUAAAGAUUUAUCGGUUGUAGAUGGGCAUGCGUUCCAUUAGCUUGCUGGUGAGGUAACGGCUCACCAAGGCAACGAUGGAUAGGGGAACUGAGAGGUUUAUCCCCCACACUGGUACUGAGACACGGACCAGACUCCUACGGGAGGCAGCAGUGAGGAAUAUUGGUCAAUGGACGCAAGUCUGAACCAGCCACGUCGCGUGAAGGAAGACGGCCCUACGGGUUGUAAACUUCUUUUGUAAGGGAAUAAAGUGUAGUACGUGUACUAUUUUGCAUGUACCUUACGAAUAAGGAUCGGCUAACUCCGUGCCAGCAGCCGCGGUAAUACGGAGGAUCCGAGCGUUAUCCGGAUUUAUUGGGUUUAAAGGGUGCGCAGGCGGGAGAUUAAGUCGGCGGUGAAAUUUUGCAGCUCAACUGUAAAAGUGCCUUCGAAACUGGUUUCCUUGAGUGUGGAUGAAGUAGGCGGAAUUUGUGGUGUAGCGGUGAAAUGCAUAGAUAUCACGAGGAACUCCGAUUGCGCAGGCAGCUUACUAAACCAUAACUGACGCUCAGGCACGAAGGCGUGGGGAUCAAACAGGAUUAGAUACCCUGGUAGUC